GCCGUACAUGGCAAGACCCUUCUUAUCCAGCUCGUUGAAGUGAUCCCAGGUCGCCCAGUGCGGCACGAGAUUGGAGUUGGCGAUCAGCACCCGCGGAGCAUCCUUGUGCGUGCGGAAGACGCCGACCGGCUUGCCGGACUGGACGAGGAGGGUCUCG
rnacentral:sRNA from 1 species